rnacentral:rRNA from 1 species
UACGUAGGGGGCGAGCGUUGUCCGGAUUUAUUGGGCGUAAAGAGCGUGUAGGCGGCUUGGUAGGUCGGCUGUGAAAACUCGGGGCUCAACCCCGAGAGGUCGGUGGAAACCAUCUGGCUAGAGUCCGGAAGAGGAGAGUGGAAUUCCUAGUGUAGCGGUGAAAUGCGUAGAGAUUAGGAAGAACACCAGUGGCGAAGGCGACUUACUGGACUGUAACUGACGCUGAGGCAUGAAAGCGUGGGGAGCAAACAGG